rnacentral:rRNA from 1 species
CCUACGGGAGGCAGCAGUGGGGAAUAUUGCACAAUGGGGGAGACCCUGAUGCAGCGACGCCGCGUGAGUGAAGAAGUAAUUCGUUAUGUAAAGCUCUAUCAGCAGGGAAGAAAAUUACGAUACCUGAGUAAGAAGCCCCGGCUAACUACGUGCCAGCAGCCGCGGUAAUACGCAGGGGGCCAGCGUUAUCCGGAUUUACUGGGUGUAAAGGGAGCGUAGACGGCAGUGCAAGUCUGGAGUGAAAGGCGGGGGCUCAACCCCCGGACUGCUCUGGAAACUGUACGGCUGGAGUGCAGGAGAGGUAAGCGGAAUUCGUAGUGUAGCGGUGAAAUGCGUAGAUAUUAGGAGGAACACCAGUGGCGAAGGCGGCUUACUAAACUGUAACUGACGUUGAGGCUCGAAAGCGUGGGGAGCAAACAGGAUUAGAUACCCUAGUAGUC